AGAGUUUGAUCAUGGCUCAGGAUGAACGCUGGCGGCGUGCCUAACACAUGCAAGUCGAGCGAUUCUCUUCGGAGAAGAGCGGCGGACGGGUGAGUAACGCGUGGGUAACCUGCCUCAUACACAUGGAUAACAUACCGAAAGGUAUGCUAAUACAGGAUAAUAUAAGAGAUUCACAUGGAUUUCUUAUCAAAGCUCCGGCGGUAUGAGAUGGACCCGCGUCUGAUUAGCUAGUUGGUAAGGUAACGGCUUACCAAGGCGACGAUCAGUAGCCGACCUGAGAGGGUGAUCGGCCACAUUGGAACUGAGACACGGUCCAAACUCCUACGGGAGGCAGCAGUGGGGAAUAUUGCACAAUGGGCGAAAGCCUGAUGCCAGCAACGCCGCGUGAGUGAUGAAGGCCUUCGGGUCGUAAAACUCUGUCCUCAAGGAAGAUAAUGACGGUACUUGAGGAGGAAGCCCCGGCUAACUACGUGCCAGCCGCAGC
rnacentral:rRNA from 1 species